rnacentral:tRNA from 1 species
GAGGGUGUAGCUCAGCCUGGUAGAGCAGCGGACUUUUAAUCCGUCGGUCCCGAGUUCGAAUCUCGGCACCCUCA